UAAGGCGAGGCCGAAAGGCGUAGUCGAUGGGAAAAUGGUUAAUAUUCCAUUACUUCUGUGUAAUGCGAUGAGAGGACGGAGAAGGCUAAAUCAGCCUGGCGUUGGUUGUCCAGGUGAAAGGAUGUAGGCAUGUAUCUUAGGCAAAUCCGGGGUACUCUAUGCUGAGAUCUGAUAGCAAGCUGUACUUGUACAGCGAAGUGGUUGAUGCCAUGCUUCCAGGAAAAGUCUCUAAGCUUCAGUUACACAGGAAUCGUACCCGAAACCGACACAGGUGGUCAGGUCGAGUAGACCAAGGCGCUUGAGAGAACUCUGCUGAAGGAACUAGGCAAAAUGGUACCGUAACUUCGGGAGAAGGUACGCUGUUGUUGGUGAUGGAACUCGCUUCCUGAGCUGACGACAGCCGCAGAAACCAGGCCGCUGCAACUGUUUAUUAAAAACAUAGCACUCUGCAAACACGAAAGUGGACGUAUAGGGUGUGAUGCCUGCCCGGUGCUGGAAGGUUAAUUGAUGGGGUUAGCGUAAGCGAAGCUCUUGAUCGAAGCCCCAGUAAACGGCGGCCGUAACUAUAACGGUCCUAAGGUAGCGAAAUUCCUUGUCGGGUAAGUUCCGACCUGCACGAAUGGCAUAAUGAUGGCGGCGCUGUCUCCAGCAGAGGCUCAGUGAAAUCGAAAUCGCUGUGAAGAUGCAGUGUACCCGCGGCUAGACGGAAAGACCCCGUGAACCUUUACUGCAGCUUGACACUGAACUUUGACCUUACUUGUGUAGGAUAGGUGGGAGGCUUUGAAGCUGGAACGCUAGUUCCAGUGGAGCCGUCCUUGAAAUACCACCCUGGUAAUGUUGAGGUUCUAACUCUGUCCCGUGAUCCGGGACGAGGACCGUGUCUGGUGGGUAGUUUGACUGGGGCGGUCUCCUCCUAAAGAGUAACGGAGGAGUACGAAGGUGCGCUCAGCGUGGUCGGAAAUCACGCGUAGAGUAUAAAGGCAAAAGCGCGCUUAACUGCGAGACCCACAAGUCGAGCAGGUACGAAAGUAGGUCUUAGUGAUCCGGUGGUUCUGUAUGGAAGGGCCAUCGCUCAACGGAUAAAAGGUACUCUGGGGAUAACAGGCUGAUACCGCCCAAGAGUUCAUAUCGACGGCGGUGUUUGGCACCUCGAUGUCGGCUCAUCUCAUCCUGGGGCUGAAGCAGGUCCCAAGGGUAUGGCUGUUCGCCAUUUAAAGAGGUACGCGAGCUGGGUUUAGAACGUCGUGAGACAGUUCGGUCCCUAUCUACCGUGGGCGCUGGAAAUUUGAGAGGAUCUGCUCCUAGUACGAGAGGACCAGAGUGGACGAACCUCUGGUGUACCGGUUGUGACGCCAGUCGCAUCGCCGGGUAGCUAUGUUCGGAAGGGAUAACCGCUGAAAGCAUCUAAGCGGGAAGCCUACCUCAAGAUAAGAUUUCCCUAGGACUUUAUGUCCUCUAAAGAGCCGUUCGAGACUAGGACGUUGAUAGGUUGGAUGUGGAAGCAUAGUGAUAUGUGAAGCUGACCAAUACUAAUUGCUCGUGAGGCUUGACUAUACAACACCCAAGCAGUUG
rnacentral:rRNA from 1 species